UACGGAAGGCAGCAGUGGGGAAUAUUGCACAAUGGGCGAAAGCCUGAUGCAGCUAUGCCGCGUGUAUGAAGAAGGCCUUAGGGUUGUAAAGUACUUUCAUCGGGGAGGAAAAAACAAAACUAAUAAUUUUAUUUCUUGACGUUACCCGAAAAAGAAGCACCGGCUAACUCCGUGCCAGCAGCCGCGGUAAUACGGAGGGUGCUAGCGUUAAUCAGAAUUACUGGGCGUAAAGAGCACGUAGGUGGUUUUUUUAAGUCAGAUGUGAAAUCCCUGGGCUUAACCUAGGAACUGCAUUUUGAAACUGAAAUACUAGAGUAUCGUAGAGGGAGGUAGAAUUCUAGGUGUAGCGGUGAAAUGCGUAGAUAUCUGGAGGAAUACCUGUGGCGAAAGCGACCUCCUAAACGAAUACUGACACUGAGGUGCGAAAGCGUGGGGAGCAAACAGGGAUUAGAUACC
rnacentral:rRNA from 1 species